UUUGAACAUCUGCAAUACCUCUACUGGAAUCCCUUCGUUCUCCAGGAGCUCUGUUGAAAUCGGAAGUUCCCAGUACUUCAAAACCAUUGUCGUUAAAACCGAGAACCAGCUCCUAUUUGCCAGUAUGGGAUUAUGGCCAAUACCAUUGCCUGUUCUGUUUUCACCUUUUGCAAAAUCCUUGGAAUUAGGCUCACCGGGGGAAAUAUGUAUGCCAGACUGAAGUCCCACUUGAUCGACAGCCCAUCAAGAAACAGAG